rnacentral:rRNA from 1 species
GGAAUAUUGCACAAUGGGCGCAAGCCUGAUGCAGCCAUGCCGCGUGUAUGAAGAAGGCCUUCGGGUUGUAAAGUACUUUCAGUGGGGAGGAAGGCGAUGAAGUUAAUAACUUCGUCGAUUGACGUUACCCGCAGAAGAAGCACCGGCUAACUCCGUGCCAGCAGCCGCGGUAAUACGGAGGGUGCAAGCGUUAAUCGGAAUUACUGGGCGUAAAGCGCACGCAGGCGGUCUGUCAAGUCGGAUGUGAAAUCCCCGGGCUCAACCUGGGAACUGCAUUCGAAACUGGCAGGCUAGAGUCUUGUAGAGGGGGGUAGAAUUCCAGGUGUAGCGGUGAAAUGCGUAGAGAUCUGGAGGAAUACCGGUGGCGAAGGCGGCCCCCUGGACAAAGACUGACGCUCAGGUGCGAAAGCGUGGGGAGCAAACAGGAUUAGAUACCCCGG